rfam:Picea glauca, whole genome shotgun sequence.
AUUUACAUUCCUACAAUGUUAAUGCACUAUUUUCCGUUAGAACUCUAUAGUUAAGUGUGCUUAGGCUUGACUAGUAUUGGGAUGGGUGACCUCUCGAGAAGUCCUAGUGUUUUAGAUG